rnacentral:rRNA from 1 species
AAGGAUCAUUAGCGAAGCUCGGAAUGCGUGUUCGGUCUGAUGCUGCCCAGCGAUGGGAUGUGCUCGGCCGGAUGCGUGUCCCUUCUCUAUUCCACCCCUUUGUGAACCAAGUGUGCGAGCCGAAGAGAGAUCGGAGGCUCGCAUGCAACCCUUAACAUACCCCAAUGAAGUAUCAGAAUGUACCUUGCGUUAACUCGCACAAAUACAACUUUCAACAACGGAUCUCUUGGCUCUCGCAUCGAUGAAGAACGCAGCGAAAUGCGAUAAGUAAUGUGAAUUGCAGAAUUCAGUGAAUCAUCGAAUCUUUGAACGCACCUUGCGCCCCUUGGCAUUCCGAGGGGCACGCCUGUUUGAGUGUCGUGAACUCCUCCACCCUCCACCUUUUUCGGAAGGCGUUGGGCUGGGAUUUGGGAGCUUGCGGGUCCCUGGCCGAUCCGCUCUCCUUGAAUACAUUAGCGAAGCCCUUGCGGCCUUGGUGUGAUAGUCAUCUACGCCUCGGUUUAGCGAACAUACGGGAAUCGCUACCAACCGUCUCGCAAGAGACAAUCACUUCAAACUUGACCUCAAAUCAGGCGGGACUACCCGCUGAACUUAAGCAUAUCAAUAAGCGGAGGAAAAGAAACUAACAAGGAUUCCCCUAGUAACUGCGAGUGAAGCGGGAUGAGCUCAAAUUUAAAAUCUGGCGUCUUCGGCGUCCGAGUUGUAAUUUAGAGAAGUGUUUUCCGCGCCGGACCGUGUACAAGUCUCCUGGAACGGAGCGUCAUAGAGGGUGAGAAUCCCGUCUUUGACACGGACCCCCGGUGCUCUGUGAUACGCUCUCGAAGAGUCGAGUUGUUUGGGAAUGCAGCUCAAAAUGGGUGGUGAACUCCAUCUAAAGCUAAAUAUUGGCGAGAGACCGAUAGCGAACAAGUACCGUGAGGGAAAGAUGAAAAGCACUUUGGAAAGAGAGUGAAACAGUACGUGAAAUUGUUGAAAGGGAAACGCUUGAAGUCAGUCGCGUCCGCCAGGAUUCAGCCUCACGGUGUACUUUCUGGUGGACGGGCCAGCAUCACUUUCAAUCAUCGGACAAGGUCGAGAGGAAUGUGGCACCUUCGGGUGUGUUAUAGCCUCUUGUCGUAUACGGUGACUGGGAGUGAGGACCGCCUUUGUAGGAUGCUGGCGUAAUGGCUUUAAACGACC